UACGGAGGAUGCGAGCGUUAUCCGGAUUUAUUGGGUUUAAAGGGUGCGUAGGCGGUUUGAUAAGUUAGAGGUGAAAUGUCGGGGCUCAACCCCGAAACUGCCUCUAAUACUGUUGGACUAGAGAUCGGAUGCAGCAGGCGGAAUGUGUAGUGUAGCGGUGAAAUGCAUAGAUAUUACACAGAACACCGAUUGCGAAGGCAGCUUGCUAGGCCGGAUCUGACACUGAUGCACGAAAGCGUGGGGAUCGAACAGG
rnacentral:rRNA from 1 species